GUGCCAGCAGCCGCGGUAAUACGUAGGGCGCAAGCGUUGUCCGGAAUUAUUGGGCGUAAAGAGCUCGUAGGCGGUUUGUCGCGUCUGCUGUGAAAGCCCGGGGCUUAACCCCGGGUGUGCAGUGGGUACGGGCAGACUUGAGUGCAGUAGGGGAGACUGGAAUUCCUGGUGUAGCGGUGAAAUGCGCAGAUAUCAGGAGGAACACCGAUGGCGAAGGCAGGUCUCUGGGCUGUUACUGACGCUGAGGAGCGAAAGCAUGGGGAGCGAACAGGAUUAGAUACCCUGGUAGUCC
rnacentral:rRNA from 1 species